CCUCUCUCUCGUCCCUUCCUUCCGCUUGAGCUGCCCCGUCGCCCUCCCCUCUCCCUCCCUCCGUCGGUAGGCUGGGCCGCCCUCCCCCUCCCUCCGCCGGUGAGCCGCGCCGCCCUUUCCUCCCUCCGUCGGAAAAGUGGAUGGACGUGAAGAAGAAGAUGGGAGUUCCUAUGCAUGGAAGGAAACGCGCUGCGCCUGGGAGAGGUCGUCGCACAGAUAGAAGCAAAAAUCAGAUAACCGACGAUGAUCAUGUGGGAACCGAGCUGGUCAAGUGCUGCUCAACCGACAAUGUCGCCGGGAGAUCAAGCAGUUUCAUCAAAUUCUGGCGCUCCUCUCAUGCCUGAUAUCGUCACUGUUGUUUCUCAGUUAGCUGAGCUCUGAGUUUCUGUAUACUUAGACAAGCGCGUCUCGAAUACGCCUAAACCCUUGUCUCUAAAAAUUUCUAGGGUAUUGUAAAAAAAACUAAGGACAAGGAGAGAAUAGAAUGUAAAUUUCCCUCUA